rnacentral:rRNA from 1 species
CCAGACUCCUACGGGAGGCAGCAGUGGGGAAUAUUGGGCAAUGGGGGAAACCCUGACCCAGCGACGCCGCGUGAGGGAAGAAGGUUUUCGGAUUGUAAACCUCUGUCCUUGGUGACGAUAAUGACGGUAGCCAAGGAGGAAGCCACGGCUAACUACGUGCCAGCAGCCGCGGUAAUACGUAGGUGGCGAGCGUUAUCCGGAUUUAUUGGGCGUAAAGCGUCCGCAGCCGGUUUAUUAAGUAUAGAAUAAAACUUCGGGGCUCAACCCCGUCUCGUUCUAUAAACUGAUAGACUAGAGUGUGGUAGAGGCAAGUGGAAUUUCUAGUGUAGCGGUAGAAUGCGUAGAUAUUAGAAGGAACACCAGUGGCGAAGGCGACUUGCUGGGCCAUCACUGACGGUCAGGGACGAAAGCGUGGGGAGCGAAUAGGAUUAGAUACCCUAGUA